rnacentral:rRNA from 1 species
AGUGAACGCUGGCGGUAGGCCUAACACAUGCAAGUCGAACGGCAGCACAGUAAGAGCUUGCUCUUACGGGUGGCGAGUGGCGGACGGGUGAGGAAUACAUCGGAAUCUACUUUUUCGUGGGGGAUAACGUAGGGAAACUUACGCUAAUACCGCAUACGACCUACGGUUGAAAGCAGGGGAUCUUCGGACCUUGCGCGAUUGAAUGAGCCGAUGUCGGAUUAGCUAGUUGGCGGGGUAAAGGCCCACCAAGGCGACGAUCCGUAGCUGGUCUGAGAGGAUGAUCAGCCACACCGGAACUGAGACACGGUCCAGACUCCUACGGGAGGCAGCAGUGGGGAAUAUUGGACAAUGGGCGCAAGCCUGAUCCAGCCAUACCGCGUGGGUGAAGAAGGCCUUCGGGUUGUAAAGCCCUUUUGUUGGGAAAGAAAAGCAGCAGGUUAAUACCCCGCUGUUCUGACGGUACCCAAAGAAUAAGCACCGGCUAACUUCGUG